CUUCUUUGGGGAGUAGCCUGCUUUCGAAUGCUUCGAAAGUGUUUAUGUCAACAUUCUCGGCAUGCAUGCCGUGGCAUAAACGACCACCCGGUUGGCGAGACCAUUGAUAUAUCCGCGUUCAGGAUCGGGCGCGUGGAUAUGUCAUUGGACGUUAGCCCGAUCGGU
rnacentral:sRNA from 2 species